GACGAACGCUGGCGGCGUGCUUAACACAUGCAAGUCGAACGCUGAAGCCUAGCUUGCUGGGUGGAUGAGUGGCGAACGGGUGAGUAACACGUGAGUAACCUGCCCCCUUCUUUGGGAUAACGCCCGGAAACGGGUGCUAAUACUGGAUAUUCACUGAUCUUCGCAUGGGGGUUGGUGGAAAGGUUUUUUCUGGUGGGGGAUGGGCUCGCGGCCUAUCAGCUUGUUGGUGGGGUGAUGGCCUACCAAGGCUUUGACGGGUAGCCGGCCUGAGAGGGUGACCGGUCACAUUGGGACUGAGAUACGGCCCAGACUCCUACGGGAGGCAGCAGUGGGGAAUAUUGCACAAUGGGCGGAAGCCUGAUGCAGCGACGCCGCGUGAGGGAUGGAGGCCUUCGGGUUGUAAACCUCUUUCGCUCAUGGUCAAGCCGCAACACUGGUUGUGGUGAGGGUAGUGGGUAAAGAAGCGCCGGCUAACUACGUGCCAGCAGCCGCGGUAAUACGUAGGGCGCGAGCGUUGUCCGGAAUUAUUGGGCGUAAAGGGCUUGUAGGCGGUUGGUCGCGUCUGCCGUGAAAUCCUCUGGCUUAACUGGGGGCGUGCGGUGGGUACGGGCUGACUUGAGUGCAGUAGGGGAGACUGGAACUCCUGGUGUAGCGGUGGAAUGCGCAGAUAUCAGGAAGAACACCGGUGGCGAAGGCGGGUCUCUGGGCCGUUACUGACGCUGAGGAGCGAAAGCGUGGGGAGCGAACAGG
rnacentral:rRNA from 1 species